AAACAAGUGGUAUAUAAGGGUAUGAUGUACAUUGGAACGAGGCAGUAGAAAGUAAAUGAAAUCAUGAUGCAAACAUUUUUAUUGACUAUCGAUUUUUUCUAUGUUGGCAGUUGCAUUAUCAAUCGAUGCAGAGCUAACCGAUGAAUUCGAAACAAAUAAGGACGAUCUUCAAGAUGAUAACGUAGCAAUACCAAGCACCAGGCCGAGCUUUGACAGUGAAAAAGACAAAACUGAUGAUGAUAGUGAUGUAGUCAUUUCCAUAUACAAAUAUAGCAUAUUGUAAUAUUCAAAAUGAUAUCUUUUGUAUUUUACACCCAAAAAGGAAAUAGUUAUUGUUUAUGGAACAGAAGCACCCUUGAAGGAAUUACAAGACGAAAUAAAACAGGAAGGGGAAGGCAAUGAUUGUAACGAUCACCAUAAACUAGUUUUCAAUCACAAAGAACAUGGCAAAAUAGAGCUUCACCCGCACAGAAUACCUCUUCAUCAUAAGGAACACGAUAAAAAUUACAUUCACAACCAUGGCCCGUUUCCUCAUCACAUAGAUCACGACCGAAAAGAUUUUCACAAGCAUGGACCACCACCGUCGCAUCGUAAAGAACACGACAGCAAAGUCUUUUUUAAACAUGGACCACCCCCACGGCACGAUGGGAAGCAUAAGGGUCUGGAGGAGUCAAGUAAAAUUGACGAAAUUGAUAAAAUGGUUGAAGCCAACCUCCUGUAGAAUAAAUUAAAUUUCGGAGAAUUGUAUUGUGAUCUUCUCCAACAAUAAAUGUGCUGAACAAAGAAAACAAAGUGAGAACCAGA